UUACAGUCUUGAGCUUGCUUAAAUUGUCUGCAGAGGAAGACAUGGUGUGGCCAUAGACUUGGACCACUUCUUCUCGUGCCUUGGUUUGCCAUUCUUGAUGCAUUGCUAAAAGGACAAGUGCCCAAGUCAAAAGAUUACCAGUUGUUUCCUUUCCUGCAAAGUAGAAGGUCUUGCAUUCGUCUAUAACUUCUUGCACUGUUAAUCUCUCUUCUUCACCGUGCUGAUUCUUGAAGGCAGACAACAGUAGACUGACUAGAUUUUUAGAAUUCUCUUUCGUUUUGUUGUUAUUGUCUAUCAGCCUUUGUAUUGAUUCUUCAAUUUCCUUCUCUAUUCUCCACCUUUCUCUAUUCUUUUUAGUGGGCAAAUAUCUGUAGUGUAUAUAAUUUAAUUUUUAAAACACAAGGAAUUACAAAAGAAAGCGUGCAUGGAAUGGGAGACAAUACAACUUUCCAAUCCAUAUUCUUGUCAAGAUCUUCAAUGGAACACCAUCUAUCAUGUUUUGUUCCAACGGAGGAAUAAAAAAGGAUGGGUUGAGAGAAGAAAACAAUCAUCAUGAUAACUUCAACCCAUGUUUUUUCUUCCCAAUUACUUUAUCCUAAGUCAGGUACAUAAUCCAAUCUCAAAUAACCACUGGAGUAGAGAUAUAUAUAUAUAUAUAUUUUCACACAAUUAUACCAUAAAGGUACAUAAAAAUGAUAUUGGACCUAAGAUCCACAAAAGAUAUAAAAUUUAGCUAGAAGGUUAACAAACAUUUAUAAUUGAGUUAAAUAAUAUGAUUUUCUUAUAACGCCAAAAUACCUAAAGGACAUUGGAAAUAGUAUAAAAUAAAUUUAUAUUAUGUGACUAUAUUGUACAUCUACAAUGUACCUUACUUAUUUUUAUUUAUUUAUUUUUUUUAGGUUUUUAAAUAUUUAGUAAUUUUUUUUAAAAUAUUUUUUUAAAAAUGAUAAAAAUAAAUAAAUUAAACCCACAUACAACUUAAAAUCUUGAUUUAAAAUUAUUUUAAUAUAUAACUUUAAAUUAUUUAAAGUUUAAAAUUAUUUUUUAAAGGAUUUCAACAUCAUUUUUUAUUUCAUAUAAUAACAAUAUAUAUCAUAUUAAAAUUAUAAAAUAUAUGCAAAAAAAAUUUAUAAAAACAAUUAUUGCUCUCUUUCAAAUAUAUGAAAAUUACAUUUUUAAAAUAUUAUUAUUAAUACUAAAUUUUAAUGAAAGUUUUAUUAAUUACUUUCAAUAACGUUACUAAAAUGUUAUAUUAUUAAUAGUAAAAUAAAAUAGAAAAAUAAAAAAUAAAACUAAAAAUUUAUUUAAAUCAUAGAAAAUAUUUCUUUUUAGCUUUUUACUUAAAAUUUAACUUAUUCAAUUAUAAAAUACAAAAAUUAAAUUAAAUUAGAAAAAUUAAAAAUUAAAAAGAUAUAACUAAAAGUAUAUAAAUAUGUUUAUUGUGUUUUCCUUUUUCAAAAUGGGUUAGAGGAGUGAGAAUAAAGAAUGGGAAAGAAUAUAUAAAAGUUGAAGAAUUAAAGAAUUAAAAGAUGAGAAUGUUCACUUUUCCUUGAUCUCCUUCGUAUUUUCAUAUUUCACGUACUUAGUAUCAAUUAUGCUAAAUAUGUCAACCUUAAUUCAUUAUUAGCUUUAACUACCCUAAAUCAUAAUUGUCUAAAUUAGAAUAAUAAAGUCAAGGCAUACGAGUUUUGACCUGAAGCCAGGAAUGUAGAUACUUCUCAAAGCCUGGACGACGAGGUGGGUUUGCUGUUCUUGUAGUUCAAAAAUGCAUUUUCCCUCUUGGAAACUGCUCCCAAAAGCCGUUCUGGAUAUAAUGUCUGCAGAAAGAUUUUGCAGCUCUCUAUGCACUUCCCUUUCCAAUUCAUCCCUCCCCCUUCUUGCUUCCUCCCACUCUUCCAACAUCUUACUAGUACUUGCCACAAUUUCCGGCACCCACCCCUAUCAAAACAAAUACAGAAUACUAGUACACCAUCAAUUUGUGGUAAUGGGUUCAUAAAAUAAGUGAACCUUGAUUAGUCUAAGCUGAUAUUUUGAAGUUCCUUCUAAAUGGCUAUCUAGUCAGGGCUUUUUACCUUUUCUCUAAAAAGACAUGCUGAAAUUACUAGGACCUAUUUUGAAAAGUUCUCAAAUAUAUUUGAAAAACAAUUCAAGAAUUAUCUGAGUAACUUUUGUAAUUGGAUUUUCAUCAGAUAAUCGUCAAACACAUUACUUGUCUUGAUAUCAACCAAAAUUAAACUACAUAUUGCUUGCUGAAUAUGUUGAGUAUGAGGGAAAAGAGAGAUUUGUAUAACCUUAACUGUCUCCGUAUUGAAAGCCUGAUUCGUGAUUCUUCUAUGAAGAGCCCACUUCUCACCGUUCAACGCAACAAGUCCAUCUGCAAACAGCAGCUUAGACAAGGGGUUAAACCUAGCCUUAUCAUAGGACACACCUGCUUUGAGGAAAACCUCCUUAAUCGACUCCGGAUCUGCUAGAGCCAGCCUGGGCUUUGUCCCUAACCACCAAAUAAACGUCUUCCCGUAAGCGCCUGACCACCUGGAGUAGUGCGGAAGCACCCGGUGAAGUAUGUCAUGCUGCAAUCCACUCAUUGAUUUCGACUGAGCCUCCGAGUACAUACGCUGGAACUCGCCCACGUUUCCUGAAAUGGGUCGGUACCCUGGGCCGCCGAUGCCCUGAGUCCUGAAGUGUUGUUGGAUCCUCCAUGGAACCCAGAUGAUUGAGUGUACGAAUUUGAAUACCAGUAUCACAGCACUGAAGAAUAGGGCAAGCAGUAGAAGAUGCAUGGUGGUGGAUCACAGAGACGGAUAGAUAGGGUUGUGGUGAUCGAUGGACUUUGCCGACACUGCUAAAGAAGGUGGAUGUGAAAAAGGAGCGUAGUCACGGAUGAGCAGGGCCUAAUUCUGAAUGUAGGAUCUAUUGAUCUAGAACUUGAAUUUUAAUAAUAUAAAAGCAAAUAAAUACAAUGUUCCACAGAAAUUUGUUAAUAUAGGAAUGGUAAUGGGAUGGUUUUUUUACCCAUCAGCCCUGCUCCAAACGGGGAGUUUUAAUAUUAAUUAAAUGAUCUUGGAACGGGUUUGCCAUUUUUUUUUAAAACUUGGAGUAGGUAUGGUAUUGCCUUAUCCCGCUUUAUCUCAAUUAUAUAUAAAAUUAAUUUUUAAAAUUAAAUUAAUUUAAUUUUUAUUUUGCUAUUUUUAAUAUGUAGAUAAUAAUAAAAUAUUUUUUUUAAUAAAAUAAGUUAUAAAAAAACAUAAUAAAUUAAUUAUUUAUAAAAUAUAUUUAUUUUAAUGUAAUUUAAACAUAAUUUUUUUUUAAAAAAAAGAAAAGAAAGUUAAACGAAUAGGAAUUAAGACGGGGUGACCCCUUCCAAACACACCUCAUUGUUACCCCUACUGUCAUUUAUGUCUUUGGACAUUUUACAUGAUACUUAACAAUAGAACGUUUUACAUGACUAUUAAUUAGUUCUUAGUAAACUUACACACAACUUGCAAAAAUGGAAGAAGUUUAAGAAAAACAAAUGAGAGAUGGCUUAUAUGAAAUUCUUAACUCACUCUAAAAUGAAAUUCCUAAUUAUAGUAGUUAAAAAAAUAAAAUAAUAUGAAAGAGAGAUCAAACCCUUUAAAAUUGAAAAUCAUGGAAUUUUAUUUGUGUUUGCAUGGGGAAAUACGUACUUUUUUAGACAUGGGAGCUCAAUAAUAAUAAAAGUAUAAAUUUUAUAUAAUAAUUAAAUUAAUAUUUAGGGGAGAGAAAUCAAUUUUAAUAACAGAAAAAUUAAUAGAAAUAAAGGGUACAAAUUUGAAGUCUUGAAAUAUUAUUGAUUAUUUCUAAGUUGUUUGACUUGAGUUGUGGAAUAUUGUGAGGAAUCUUUUCAUAAUUCAUUAGAAGAAGAAUAUUUAAAAUAAUGAAUUAUGAUAACAAACUCUGUUGUGUCUCAUAGGUAUAUCAUAUUAGAAAAAUCAUAUGCAUUUGAAAUAAUUUUUUUGAAAAAAUUUAAUGAAAUGAUCAAAUUUAGAUAAUUAUCUAUUAAAUUAAAUCCGACAAUUGAUAAUUUCAAUAUAAAAAAAAUCAAAAUAAAAGGAGAAGCGCGUAACUUGUCAUAAGGGAUUAAAAUAUCGUCGAAAAGAAACAUAUAUAUAUAUAUAUAUAUAUAUAUAUAUUGUUGAUUCUCAACCAACUGGAGUUAGGUUCAUCUAGCUUGAUUGAAGUCAGACAAAUUUCUUCCAUUCUUUGUGCCUUUUCGGAGAAUCCAUCUAGCAAGAAUGAGACUAGAUGGAAAAGAUCCUGCACAAAAGGAUGUCCAAACGGAUGGUCCAAGUACAUCCCUCCGAAGCUCAAGUCAGGCGAGAGUAGCUCAAGCUGCUUAGUGGGAGAGAGUGAAUAAGGGCAUGUACGCGUACCUCGUUUGUAAUUUUUGGAGGGUUUAUAAAGGGUUAAUGAGACUUGACUAGGCACUUUCAUUUUCUUCUGUAAUGAUGAUUGUACAGUUUUGGGUGGCUGGCAGGUGUCAUGAUGUUGGACUGUGUAACCACCUAUCCUUUCAAUCUGUUAACGAUCUAGGUUUAUGUACAACAAUUAAGUGACAUGAACUUGUGGGCUAAAUGGAGUCUCAUCGGUCGUUCACAUGUUAAGCGUAAAUGAUUACGCAUGCCAGUAGGUCUUAAAGACUUGAUUGGACAAUCCUUCCCGUUUGGGGGGUUCGAACUCCUCUUGUCGUGUGGCCCUGUGCUAUAUGGUCAAGGUGUUCGGGUUGAAAAAGGGACACGCAGAGGGGAGCCCCCUACGUGUAUGACCCUUACUCUUCCUAUUGAAAGCCCGGUCGUUCCAAGAAGCCCAUCUCCGAACAACAGCUUAGAUAGUGGAUUAAAUCCCACAUUAUCAUAGGACACACCUGUGUUUAGUAAAACCUCCUUAAUCCACUCUGUAUCCGCUAUAACCACCAAACACACGUCUCCCCAUAAGCGCCUGACCACCUAGAGUAGUAAGGAGGCACUCGACGAAGUAUGUCAUGUUGCAAUCUACCCAUUGAUUUCGAUUGAACUUCCACGUACAUACACUAGAACUCGUCCACGUUUCUUGAAAUGGGUUAAUACCCUGAGCCGCCUAUGCCUUGAGUCUUUCAAGUGUUGUUGGAUCUUCUAUGGAACCCAGAUGAUUGAGUGUAUGGAUUUGAAUGACAUUUAAAAUUAAUGUGACGACGAUUUAUUCAUUUAUUUAUUUUUAAUAAUAUGAAAAAACUAUGAAACUCUAUCAACGAAAAUAAUGGAACUAUACAUGCGUUUGUGAAGAGAAGCAUAUAAGUUUUUAUAAAAGAGAGUUAUUUAAAUUAAAUUAAUUUCUAGAGGAGAUAAAUCAAUUCUAAAUGACAUAAAAACCAAUGUUUUCAAAACCAGAUCGGUCAUUGAACCGGAAAAGUUACCGGUUCACAAUUCAUUGGUCGGACCGGCAGUCGAACCGGUGAUGUCAUUAAUAUAUAUUUUUAUAUAUUAUUAAAAUUUUAAAAAAAUUAAUAAAUAAAAAUAAUAAAUUAUAUCUAAAUUUUGACAAUAUCUAUCAUGUUUAUUAAUUUUUUUCACAAAUUUUUUUUAUCUAUAGUUGUCCAUCAACCCAAUAUUUUCAAUAAUUUCAAUAAAUUAAAAUGCUAAUAUGUAAUAAAUAAAACAAAAUAUAAAAAUUCAAUAUAAAAUUUUAAAAAACUAAAAUGGAAGGUUCUCGUGGGGGAUAGGGAGAUGAGAGAGAGAGAGAAAAUUAAAUUUUUAAAAACUAAAACGGAAGUCAUGGGAGGGAAGGGGGGAUAGAGAGAGAGAGAGAGGGGUUUCUAGUCGUGGGAGGAUGGGGGGUGGUUUCAGUCGUGGCCCAUGGAGGGAACUUCCAGUGGGAGUGCUCUUUACCGUCGAGGGGAAGGGGGGAGUUUUCCAGUCCGUCGCUAGGGGUGGGGUGACGAGAUUUGCACUAGGUGUUCAUCGGUCGAAUCGCCGGUUCAUCGGUCGAACCGCCGGUUCAUCGGUCGAACCGCCGGUUCAUCGGUCGAACCGUCGGUUCAAACGGUUUAAUUCCAUUUCGAUGGCUUCCCAGUCCAAUUGGUCAGACUGGACCAAAAUCGUGAUCGGUCGACGAUCGGAUCAACCGAUCCGAUCCGAUUUUUAAAACCAUGAUAAAAACUAGUAGAUAUCAACUUUUCAAGUUUGGAGUCUUGAGAUAUUAUUAAUUCUCUUCAAAUUGGUUGGCUUGAUUUGUGAAGUCAUUUCGAGGAAUCUUUUCAAAUUUCACUAAAAGAUGAAUUAUUUAUAUUUAUAAAAUUAUUAAAAUAAUAUAUGAAUUAUUAUAACAAAAUCUUUUAUCUCUUGUUGUCUAUCAUAUUAAUUUUAUUCUAAAUUUCAUGUUUUUAAAUUUGAUCUUUACUGAUUUUAAGAUUUCUAAACCCAACCGAAAAACAUGGUCACGUGCAAAAGAAGAAAAAAAGAAGAAGAGAAAAUCACAAGUAAAAUAUUGCAAAAACGUACUCGAAUCCAUAUAUAAGCAUACAUAAUUAUUACAUAAUUUGAAAAUAUAAAAGAUACGUACUAAUAUAUAAUUUAUUUGCUUUGUCAUCCAUCAUCAAUGGGAUACAAGCUUACAACAUUAGGUGGGAUAGUAUAAUAUUAUUAUCACAAACACUAAAGGAAAAAAACUUUUAACUUCAAAUCCUUGUAAAGUGGAUGUGGGCACCAUACUGGGGAUGCAAGGACAAGCUCUGCAUUGGGGCAUGAACAUAUGUUGGAGAUAACACAAAGGAAUAUUGUUGGAUGAUCAUGGCUAGGAUAAUUUUUGCCUCAACCAUCGCCAAAUUUUGACCUACACAUAUCCUGGGGCCCAACCCAAAAGGGAAAAAUGAGGCUAAUUGCUUCCUAGGCUCCUUAAAUCUAAAAGGGUUGAAUUCAUUAGCAUCUUCACCCCAUAUUUGAGUGUCAUGAUGAACAGCAGUCAUAGUCGCAAAGAUUUGUGUGCCUGCAGGAAUAUCUACCCUUCCUAACUUUACACUUUUUGUUGGUACCCUUGACAUGGGUUGGGCAGGGGGAUAGAGUCGAAGUGUUUCAUUGAUUAUCAUGCCCACCUGUAAAUAAUAAUGUAAAUCAUGCAUCAUAUUGGUGGCAUGGUAGUAAAAGAACAUAAUUGUUUAAGUGAACUUACAAUCUUGAGCUCGCUUAAAUUAUCUGCAAAGGGAGACAUGGUGUGGCCAUAGACUUGGACCACUUCUUCUCGUGCCUUGGUUUGCCAUUCUUGAUGCAUUGCUAAAAGGACAAGUGCCCAAGUCAAAAGAUUUCCAGUUGUUUCCUUUCCUGCAAAGUAGAAGGUCUUGCAUUCGUCUAUAACUUCUUGCACGGUCAAUUUCUCUUCUUCACCAUGCUGAUUCUUGUAGGUUGACAAUAAUAGACUGACUAGAUUUUUAGAAUUCUCUUUUGUUUUGUUGUUAUUGUCUAUCAGCCUUUGUAUUGAUUCUUCAAUUUCCUUCUCUAUUCUCCAACUUUCUCUAUUCGUUUUAGUGGGCAAGUAUCUGUAUUGUAUAUAAUUUAAUUUUUAAAACACAAGGAAUUACGAAAGAAAGCAUGCAUGGGAUGGGAAACGAUACAGAUUUCCAACUCAUAUUCUUGUCAAAUAUUCCAUGGAACACCACUCGUAAUGUUCUACUCCAAUGGAGGAAUAAAAGAGAAUGGGUCGAGAGAAGAAAAUAAUCAUUAUGAUAACUUCAACCCAUCUUCUUUUCUUCCCAAUUAGCUUAUCCCACAUUCUCAAGUACACAAUCCAAUCUCAAAUAACUAUUUGAGUGGAAUAAUUUUAUUUUUAUUUUUAUUAGUAGUUGAGCCAUACUGAUAGAAAUCAGAAUAACAAAGUCAAAGCAUACGAGUUUUCACCUGAAGCCAGGAAUGUGGAUACUUCUUAGAGCCUUGGCGAUAAGGUGCAUUUGCUGUUCUUGUAGUUCAAAAAUGUGUUUUCCCUCUUGAAAACUGCUCCCAAAAGCCGUUCUAGAUAUAACGUCUGCAGAAAGAUUUUGCAGUUCUCUAUGCACUUCCCUUUCCAAUUCAUCCCUCCCUCCUCUAGCUUCCUCCCACUCUUCCAACAUCUUUCUGGUACUUGCCACAAUUUCCGGCACCCACCCCUAUCAAAACAAAUACAGAAUAUUAGCACACCAUCAAUUUUGGCGGUAAUGGAUUCACAAAAUUAGUGCACCUUGAUUACUCUAAGCUGAUGUUUUUAAGUUCCUUUUAAAUGGUAUCUAGGCAGGGCUUUUUACUUUUCCUCCAAAAAGGCACGCUGAAAUUGUUAGGGCCUAUUUUGAAAAGUUUUCAAAUAUUUUUUAAAAGAAUUAUCUGAAUAACUUUUCUAAUUGGAUUUUCAUCAGAUAAUCGUAAAAACAUUAAUUGUCUUGAUAUCCAACAAAAUUAAACUACAUGUUACUUGCUGAGGAAGAGGGAAAAGAAAGAUUUGUAUGACCUUAACUCUCUCCAUGUUGAAGGCCCGGUUCGCGAUUCUUCUAUGAAGAGCCCACUUCUCACCCUUCAACGCGGCAAGUCCAUCUCCAAACAGCGGCCUAGACAGGGGACUAAACCCAACCCUAUCAUAGGACACACCUGUGUUUAGGAGAACCUCCUUAAUCGACUCCGGAUCGGCUAGAGCCAGCCGGGGCUUUGUCCCGAACCACCAAAUAAACGUCUUCCCGUAAGCGCCGGACCACCUGGAGUAGUCCGGAAGCACUCGGUGAAGUAUGUCAUGCUGCAAUCCUCCCAUUGAUUUCGACUGAGCUUCCGCGUACAUACGCUGCAACUCACCCACGUUUCCUGAAAUGGGUCGGUACCCUGGGCCUCCUAUGCCUUGAGUCUUGAAGUGUUGUUGGAUCCUCCAUGGAACCCAGAUGAUUGAGUGUACGGAUUUGAAUACCAGUAUCACAACACUGCAGAAUAGGGCAAGCAGUAGAAGAUGCAUGGUGGUGGAUCACAGGCCGGAGAGAAGGGUUGUGGUGAUCGAUGGACUUUGCCCACACUGCUAAAGAAAGUGGAUGUGACAAAGAGCGAAGUCACGGGGCCUAAUUCUGAAUAUCAUGUUGGGAUUAGGAUGUGAUCAUGGAUGGUGUAGGAUCGAUUGAUCUGGAAUUUGAAUUUUAAUAAUAUAAAAGAAAAGAAAUUCUAAACAUGAUGAUACGAAAUUCCAAAUAAAUUGGAGGAAAAUGUUUCACAGAAAUUUGUCAUGUGUGUCUUUGGCAUUUAAUCUAGAAUAUGAAAUAAGAUUUAACUAUUAAAUUCAUCUACAAUACAAUAUGAUACUUAACAAUAUGAAAUAGGACAUUUUACAUGAAUUAUUAUAACAAACUCUUCUGUCUCUUGUAAGUCUAUCGCAUCAAAAAAAUCAUAUGCAUUUGAAAUAAUUUUUUUGAAAAGAUUCCAUGUUAUAAAAAAAUAUAAUAGUUCAAAAGAGAAUCAAAUAAUUAUCACAAACUCUUUUGUCCCUUGUAAGUCUUAUCAUAUUAAAAAAAAAAAAAAAUCGUAUGUAUUUGAAAUAAAUUUUUUGAAAAGAUUCCAUGUUAUAAAAAAAUAUAAAAGUUAAGAAGAGAAUCGAAUAAUUAUCAUUGAAAUGGUUAAAAUAAUGCGUGAAAGAGAAAAAAUUAUUAUUCAAAUAUAAGGAAGAAGAUGGUGAAGAUGGAUCUCACCUAUGAAUAACACUUACGAGGGGUUGAAUAUGCAUUUUUUCUAAAUAAUUAGAUAUGGUAUCUCAUAAAUGCUUACAAUUUCCCUAUUUUUCUCUUAUGAUUUGAUCUUCUUUUUUUUAAUCUUAUGAAUGAACAAGCAAAUCGCAAGCAACAAUAGAUGCACUAACACUCUCCCUAACAAGUUAUUCAAUGUAAGUUACAUGCAAAUAAGACAACACUUCCCAAAUAUGAUAUAUAAAACAUUGCAUCAAUAUAAAAACAUUUUUUUUUCUUCACAUGCCCUUGUCAUCAAUCAACAAAAACUAAAAUAUAUCUUAUCCUUUCAAAUAUUCAAUAAACACAUUUUGGUUCAUACUCCAAUUAAUUCAAUCAUCAUAACACAAUGAAAAAAAUAUCAAAAUCUCGUGAAAUACUAAUUAAAAGACAUGAUAGAAAAGAGAGAAUGACAUCAAUUUUUUAAUGUGGAAAAUCUCUGAAGAGAUAAAAACCAUAGGUCUCAAACAAUCAAAUCAUUCACUAUGAAGAAAAAUUAGUUGAGUAUAAAGUUUUAUUUAACUCAAGUCUUUCAUCCUCUCCCAAACCAUUUGCCUAGAACCUUCAAGCUUCAGCUACCACUGUUCUUCUUCGAGAAAACAUUUGAAAUUCAUUCCACACUUUGUUCUUGACCUCUUCUCGAGUCUACACAAGAAUAAUUUUAGGUUUUACCCCAAUAAGUUGAAUAUGAAAGUAAUAUGAGAGUUAGGAUAAAGAACACAUUGAAUUAACCCAUUUAGAACAAAGAUUUUUCACUGAAAAUUUGAUUUACAAUUCAAACCCAUAAAUUUUCUCACAAGGCAUAUACUCUCCAAUAUAGUAAAAAAACUUGAUGCUAAAAAACCUAGAGUUUUCUCUCUCAUAGCCGCUUAUACCACAUCUGGAAAGAGAGCUUAAGUAUUAAGGUUUUGAAACUCAUCUAAUGGUUGAGAUUCGUUUGGAAAAUCAUGAAAAUUCACAAGUGUGAUCAAAAUCUAGUCAAUCAAACAAGAUUGAAAAAAAUUGGGUUCAACAUAAAUUGCUACCCUUUAGUUUGAUCGAUCAAAAAUUUAUCCAAAUAUUUUAAACACAAUGUUUUGCAUUCCUUAAGCAGUUACUCCAUUUUUCAAUAAAAUGAAAAUAGUUGAAAACAUGGUUGAUCAAUGUUUUCCAUCAUCGAAACCCUCAAAAGCAUUUACCAACUCCUCUAGCCAUCUUCAAACGCGAACAAUUUGGAAAAGACAAGUGUCAAAUGAGGGAUUUGAAAAAUAUGAGAUACGAGACACAAUGAGAAUUUUGACCCAAAAUUGGCAAUACACAAAAUACACUCAUGGAUAAAUAUAUAAAGGUGACAUUGGAAAAAAAGAGAAGAAAAUGGAAUGAUAAAGGUGAUGUAGGAAAAACAUAAAAGGUAAGUCGACAUCAACUUUAUUGAAGUCUCAAUCCAUUCUAUUUUCUCUCCUAUUUACUACUUACUACGGCGACGAAGAAUCAAAUUAUCGCUAUAUUUAUUCCUUUUUCUACUUCUUCUUCCAAGUGCAGGAUAACCCCAAGGGGUUGUGGGUUUUUUUCUACCAAUUGGGGCUCUCCCCUCACCACCCCCAUGGGGAUGGUCUACAGGGUUCAUAACUACUCCUCUUACUACAGGACGCUUACCUAGCCAACACUUAGAUCCGGCUCUACCCAAACUUUUCUAAAAAUUUUUUUUAUCAAUGAAUACCCUUCCUUCAAACAUUGAAUUUAAAAUUUUCAAAUUAACUAUUUUCUUUUUCAUUCAAAUCUUUCCUUUCUAUACAUAAAACAAAUGUUUGUUUGUGAAAGUAAAAGACUUUUUCUUAUGAAUUUUCGUGAUCUUAAAUUGACAUCAUGUUACAUAGGUGAAAAAAAAAUAAUUAGGAUCAAUUUUGUGCCCAUUUGUUUUAUUAUUUUAAGAAAAAAAAUAUUAGUUGUAUGAUACGUAGCUUUCUAGUCAUUUAAAGAAUUAUAUGCAAAUCAAUAUUAAUUAACUAAGCAGAUGAAAUGAUCAAAUUUAAAUAAUUUUCUAUCAAAUUAAACCCAAAAACCAAUAAUCUUGAUAUAGAAAAUAUUCAAAAUAAAAACUUAAAAUCUUGGAAGACAAGUCUAAUUAUCUCAAAAGAAGAACGCAACUUAUCAUAUACCUUAUCAUGUACAUUGCCUAAACCUACCUACUACCUUGGUUACUUCUAUUUCAUUUUUCAUUAUUAUGUGAAAAAAAAAAUCAAAUUGAUUUAUUAUAAAUCUCAUGUUUCUAAAAGAUUUGAUCUUAUAGGCAUCACCAUUUUUCUCUCUCUUAAAAUAAAACACUUUUUUUUCAUUUGGCAAAUAAUGAAAAUGUACUUCAAUCCAUAUAUGGUAAAGUAAUUAUUACAUAAUUUGAAAAUAGAAAGAUACAUACUAACAUAUAAUUCAUGUUUUUAGUAACCCAUCAUCAACCAAACAUAAGCUUACAACAUUAGAUACCAUAGUAUAACAUUAUUAUUACAAACACCACACAAAAAAGUGAAAAUUUAUCAACUUCAGAUCUUUGUAAAGAGGAUGUGGGCAUCGUACUAAGAUUGCAAGCCCAAGAUUUGCAUUGGGGGCAUGAACAUAUGUUGAUGAUAACAUAAAUGGAUAUUGUUGAAUGAUCAUGGCUAAGAUAAUUUCGCCUCAACCACCGCUAGAUUUUGACCUACGCAUAUCCUGGGGCCUAACCCAAAUGGGAAAAAUGAGGUUGAUUGCUUUCGAGGCUCCUUAAAUCUUAAGAAGUUGAAUUCAUUAGUAUCUUCACCCCAUAUUUGAGUGUCAUGAUGAACAACACUCAUAACUGUUAAAAAAAUUAAGCUGAUCCAACUUAAGGUAAUCACUCUAAAGGAGGAUGAGUAGAGUGAUAGUCUCUUUCUGUAAAUUUAAAUUAUAUGAAUACAAGAGACACUUUCUUGGUAAUGUCUUCCUUUUCACUCUCUUUAUUUUCAUCAUCAUUUGUUGAGGCCUUAAAUGCUAUAUUUUUCUUAUUUUCUUUAACUCUUUGAUGAUUGUUCAAUUUUAUCUCAUGAGUCAUGAGUGACCCAAUGAGUUCUUCAAAUGGGAGUUUGGUGACAUCAUUUGCUUCUUGAAUAACUGUCACUUUUGUUUCCCAUUUUUUUUGGUAAAGACCUCAAGAUCUUCAUGACUUUCUGUACUUUGGUGUAGGUCUUUCCCAAUGCUUCAAGUUCAUUUACAAUCACCAUGAACCUAGAAAACAUCUCUACAAUAGAUUCAAAAUCCUUCAUAGAAAAUAAUUUAUAAUCAUGCACAAGGAUGUUGAUCCUAGAUUCUUUAACUUGGUUGGUUCCCUCAAGAAUGAUUUCUAAAAGUCUUCAAAUUUAUUUAGUUGACUUACAUUGCCAAAUAUGAUUAAAUUCAUUUCUAUCAAUAGCACAAUGUAAGAUAUAAACGACUUUGACAUUUAAUUGAAUUUUCUUUUUAUCAAGUUCAUCUCAUUCUUACUUAGGUUUUGGAACCAUUACUCCAUUUUCUAAUUUUGAAGGAAUGUGAGGACCAUCUACAAUGACAUCUCAUAUAUUAAGAUUAGUAGAUUUUUAAAACCAAGUCAUUUUUGUUUUCCAAUAGGAAUAAUCGUUUCCUGUAAAGAAUGGAGGUCUAUUGGUUGCAAAACACUCAAUAUGAGAUGAGCUUAAUGGAUUAGUCAUUACCUUUUAAACGGUUAAGUCUUAAACAAGAGGUCUAACUCUGAUAUCAAUUGUUAGAAAAAUUAGGCUAAUCCAACUUAAGUCAAUCACCCUAAAAGGGGGUGAAUAGAGUGAUGGUCUUUUUUUGCAUAUUUAAAUUAUAUGAAUGCAAAAGACAAUUAUAUGCAAAUAUAUAAUAAAAUAAUAUAAAGACAAUUGCAUAUAAAGUAAAAGAAUAUGAAAAAGAGAAUGCAGACACAAGAUUUUUAUAGUGGUUCGGCGCAACCCGACCUACAUCCAUUCUCCUUUAACUUCAAUCCUAAGCUUGAGGUUCCACUAUUUCAAGACUUCCAAACCAAGUCUUAAAGUAAUAUAUUUGGUUUAUAGUUCCAAUCCACCCUCUUGAACUUUUGGCUCCAAGCACUAUUUACAAUCCUUAAGAGAUACCCCACUCUUGAACAACCCCUCAAGUGAUACCCUACACUUAAAAAUCCCUAAGUGAUAUCACAUACUUAAACUUUUCUUUUCAAAGAUUUACAAAUGAAUAUAGGAAAUAUUCUCACAAAAUCUUAUUACAAAACUUUAGACUCAAAUGUACAAGAAAAACUAUGAUUGAAAGAUCCAUUAAUGAUAUGCAAGUUUUAGAAUAAUGGUGCACUAAAAAACACUCUACCAAGGUUCAAAUAUAUUCAAGAAAGGUUUAGAAAGGUUAAACUCUUGAAACAAUAAAGAUUGAAGCCUUCUUAUAAAAGAAAAUGACCAAACUAGUAGUUGGGGUUUUGACCGAUCGAGUUAGGGGUCGACUGGUUGACUAGCCGUUAGCAUUUAAUAUUUGGCAGAUGACCAUUGGACCUCGAUUGCCCCUUGACCGAACCUCGACCUGUUGAACAAGUGUUCUAAAAGAGAAUGAAGGUUUUUGCACCUUUCAACCGGUUAAGCUGAACAAGUCGAUCGGUUCUCAUCCGGUUCAACCAAUUGAGUUGUUUUUGGCUCAACAACCAUUCGUUUCAACUUAAAACCUUUUAAACAAGUUUGAAAAAAAAUUUGACACAAGGUUUUAGUUGAAAACAUGAAAUUAUCCGAUUUUAAAGGAUUUAGAAACAAAAUUACUUUUAAAUGAUUUUGGUGCAUAAAUUAAUAAUGUAAUGCAUGGAAGACCUAGUGCGCCAACAACCUUACACAAAGACCCUAUAAAGUUUAGGUCUUGAAAAAUACUUAUCUUUGAGGUCUUCUUCUUCUUACUAAUUUUUCUUUAACUUGAUUUUGUCUUUGUGAUUGUCAUUUUGAAAAUUUUUUUGCCUAAUCAUACUUGAAAUAUAAUCAUCAAUUUCAAACCUUGUUUUGUUAUCAUCAAAACUAAUAUUAACAAAACCUUGGUUUCACAAUAACAAAAUAGAUUUGUGCCUGCAGGAACAUCUACCUUUCCUAACUUUACACUUUUUGUUGGUUCCCUUGACAUGGUCUAAGCAGGGGGAUAGAGUCGAAGUGUUUCAUUGAUUAUCAUGCCCACUUGUAAACAGUAAUGUAAAUCAUGCAUCAUGCUGAAAGUAAAAGAACAUACUUAUUUAAGUGAAUUUACGAUCGCGGGCUUGCUUAAAUUCUCUACAAAGGGCGACAUGGUGUGGCCAUAGACUUAGACCACUUUUUAUCAUGCCUUUGUUUUCCAUUCUUGGUGUAUCGCUAGAAAGACAAGUGCCCAAGUCAAAAGAUUAGCAGUUCUUUCCUCUCUUGCAAAGUAGCAGGUUUUGCAUUCAUCUAUAACUUCUUCCACUCCUAACAUCUCUUCUUGACCACGCUGAUUCUUGUAGGUUGACAAUAAUAGAUUGACUAGAUUUUUAGAAUUCUCUUUUAUUUUGUUGUUAUUGUCUAUUAGCCUUU
rnacentral:lncRNA from 1 species